rnacentral:rRNA from 1 species
GGAAAGGCGCGCGAUACAGGGUGACAGCCCCGUACACAAAAAUGCACAUGCUGUGAGCUCGAUGAGUAGGGCGGGACACGUGGUAUCCUGUCUGAAUAUGGGGGGACCAUCCUCCAAGGCUAAAUACUCCUGACUGACCGAUAGUGAACCAGUACCGUGAGGGAAAGGCGAAAAGAACCCCGGCGAGGGGAGUGAAAAAGAACCUGAAACCGUGUACGUACAAGCAGUGGGAGCACGCUUAGGCGUGUGACUGCGUACCUUUUGUAUAAUGGGUCAGCGACUUAUAUUCUGUAGCAAGGUUAACCGAAUAGGGGAGCCGAAGGGAAACCGAGUCUUAACUGGGCGUUAAGUUGCAGGGUAUAGACCCGAAACCCGGUGAUCUAGCCAUGGGCAGGUUGAAGGUUGGGUAACACUAACUGGAGGACCGAACCGACUAAUGUUGAAAAAUUAGCGGAUGACUUGUGGCUGGGGGUGAAAGGCCAAUCAAACCGGGAGAUAGCUGGUUCUCCCCGAAAGCUAUUUAGGUAGCGCCUCGUGAAUUCAUCUCCGGGGGUAGAGCACUGUUUCGGCAAGGGGGUCAUCCCGACUUACCAACCCGAUGCAAACUGCGAAUACCGGAG